rnacentral:rRNA from 1 species
UUGUACCCCCGGGGCUAAGCAUAUCAAUAAGCGGAGGAAAAGAAACCAACAGGGAUUGCCUCAGUAACGGCGAGUGAAGCGGCAACAGCUCAAAUUUGAAAUCUGGCCCUAGGCCCGAGUUGUAAUUUGCAGAGGAUGCUUCUGGCGCGGUGCCUUCCAAGUCCCCUGGAACGGGGCGCCAUAGAGGGUGAGAGCCCCGUCUGGUUGGCCGCCAAGCCUGUGUGAAGCUCCUUCGACGAGUCGAGUAGUUUGGGAAUGCUGCUCUAAAUGGGAGGUAGACCCCUUCUAAAGCUAAAUAUUGGCCAGAGACCGAUAGCGCACAAGUAGAGUGAUCGAAAGAUGAAAAGCACUUUGAAAAGAGGGUUAAACAGUACGUGAAAUUGUUGAAAGGGAAGCGCUUGUGACCAGACGUGCGUCGGGGUGUUCAGCGGGCGUUCUCGCCCGUGCACUCGCCCCGGUGCAGGCCAGCGUCGGUUCGGGAGGGGGGACAAAGGCGCCGGGAACGUAGCUCCUCCGGGAGUGUUAUAGCCCGGCGUGUCAUGCCCCCGCCUGGACCGAGGUUCGCGCUCCGCAAGGACGCUGGCGUAAUGGUCCCCAGCGGCCCGUCUUGAAACACGGACCAAGGAGUCGAGGUUUUGCGCGAGUGUUUGGGUGUCAAACCCGCACGCGUAAUGAAAGUGAACGCAGGUGGGAGCUUCGGCGCACCACCGACCGAUCCUGAUGUUCUCGGAUGGAUUUGAGUAAGAGCGUAGGGCCUCGGACCCGAAAGAUGGUGAACUAUACGUGAAUAGGGUGAAGCCAGAGGAAACUCUGGUGGAGGCUCGCAGCGGUUCUGACGUGCAAAUCGAUCGUCAAAUUUGCGUAUGGGGGCGAAAGACUAAUCGAACCAUCUAGUAGCUGGUUACCGCCGAAGUCUCCCCCUAAGGGAUAA